CCAGUGCAAAGCUGAGUGUACUCAUCAUUGUGGGAGUAGCUUCACUGUAAUGAAGUGGUGAUUCAAGGGAGUUGGCUAAGGAACAUAUAACAGAUCUCAGGCAAUCUGAAAUUCAUUUCAGGAGUUUGAUAAGCAUCAUCAUGAAGAGAUGGAAAGGGUGGACAGCAAAGUGAUUACAAAGAGGAGGAGGGUACUGCAAAAGCUGGAAUUUGGUGAAGCUUACAAAGCCAUCUGAUUUGGAUUUGCAACAUACUCCAUGGUUUGAUGGGAGAUCGGCUUUGUCACAUCUUUGUUGGCAGAACAAGAGUCCCAGAGUUUUAACAUCAACAACUGGAUGGAUGCAAUUCAAAAGGAAAAUUAAACACUUCCAAAUUGCUCUGCUGAAAUGACAUUUUUGGGACAAAUGAAAACAGCCACAGGACAAAGAGAGUGAAAAUUUACUUACAAGAGUAAGCUGAAACAGAAGCCAAAAAUAUCUGCUCAUUAAUCACAUUUUGGAUCCAGACUUCCGAGAAAAAUACAAUGGAAACUUUCUUAAUCAAGGGUUUUGAAACAACUGGGAUUCCUGUUUAAAUAUAUCAUAUAGAUGGUUAUUCUUGUUGCAUAUUUUAUACAUUUACAGAUGUUUACUGAUAUUGUAAUAACGAGCAGGAAAUAUUAUAAGUUGUUAAAACAGAUGGUCCAGUAUUUUAUCAGAAAACCUGGAAGUUGUGUACAGAUUGAUAAUAUAACAGUUAUAGCAAUGUCAGAUUGAUAGGUUUUGUGACAGACCAGAAAAAAUACACAAUAACUUCUUCAUGUAUAUCGUUGCAUAAUCGAGGGCUUCUGUUGAAUCAUUCUACAUUCCCUAGCAGUACUUUGCUGAACUCCCUUUGAAAUAGUAGCUUUUAACAUUAUUAAAUAAAUGUCAUAAACGUUUGAACCAUAUGAAAAGUUACAACAACAUUCAAAAUUGAUCAACAGGCAAGACAAAAAAAUGAAAAACUAAUUUUACAAAUAUACCUGAAGCACUUUGGUUUUGGCUAUCCAUAGGCUUCAGAAAAAUAAGAAUGGGCCCCCUGUGGAUAAAAUUAGUAACAGCUGUUUGGCAUUUUCAGAAAGUUGUUAGCUUUUUCUUCAAGGCUUUUUCAUUUGCUCAAACAGCUUCAAAGCAAAAUCAUUUAAAUUCUCAUUCUUUUUUAUUUAUGCUUUUCCUCGAUAAAAUCCUUGGCAAGGAAAGAAUAAUGAUCCAACCCCCAGAUUGCCAACGGAUAGUAACAGAGCUCAAAUGUCUGUGUAGUGAAACAGAUGAGGAGGGGUGUGGUGGUAGUAUGAGAAGGGGUCCCUGUUUACUAGAUUUCCAUGGUCUGCCCACAUCUGGUACAGCUCAUCCUGUUGGAUCUCCUGAUAGAAUCAUAGAGAUUUACAGCAUGGAAACAGACCUUCAGUCCAACUUGUCCAUGCCAUGCAGAUAUUUCUAUAUUAAUCUAGCCUCAUUUGCCAGUAUUUGGCCCAAAUCCCUUUAAACCCUUUCUACUCAUAUACCUAUCCAGAUGCCUUUUAAAUGAUGUAAUUGUAUCAGCCUCCAUCACUUCCACUGCCAGUUCAUUCCACACACACACCACACUCUGUGUUAAAAAAGUUGUCCCUUAGGUCCGUUUUAAAUCUUGCCCCUCCCAGUUUAAACAUAUGUCCUCCAGUUUUUGACUUCUCUACCCUGGGGAAAGACCUUGGCUAUUUACCCUAUCAGGCACCUCAAGGUUUUAAUUUCUGUAAGGUCAUCCUCAACUUCUGAUACUCCAGGGAAAAUAGCCAAUCUAUUCAGCCUCUUUCUAAAGCGCAAACCCUCCAACCCUGACAACAUCCUUGAGAAACUUGAAAGAGUUCAGAAAAGAUUUACAACAUCCUUCCUGUAGCAGGGAGACCAGAAUUGAACAUAAUAUUCCAAAAGCGGCCCAACCAAUGUCCUGUACAGCUGGAACAUGGCCUCCCAAUUUCUAUACUCAAUGUGCUGACCAAUAAAGGCAAGCAUACCAAACUAUUUCUUCACUAUUCUAUCUACCUGUGAGUCUAUUGUCAAGGAACUAUGACCCUGCACUCCAAGGUCUCUUUGUUCAGCAACACCAUCCAGGAUCUUACCAUUAAAUAUACAAGCCCUGAUUUGCCUUUCCAACAUGCAACUCCUCACAUUUAUCUAGCUUGAACUCCAUCUGCCACCUCUUGGCCCAUUGGCCGAUCUGCCCAUCUGAUCAAGAUCCCAUUGUACUCUGAGGUAACCUUCCUCACUGUUCACUACACCAUCAAUUUUGGUGUCAUCUGUAAACUUAUUAACGAUAUCUUCUACAUUCACAUCCAAGUAAUUUAUAUUAAUGACAAAAAGCAGUGGACCCAGCAUCGAACCUUGUGGCACACCACUGGUCACAGGCCUCCAGUCUGAAAAGCAACCCCCUCCCAGUACCCUCUCUCUCCUACCUUUGAGCCAAUUUUGUAUCCAAAUGGCUAAUUCUCCCUGUAUUCCUUGUGAUCUAACCUUGCUAACCAGUCUACUAUGCGGAACCUUGUCAAAAACCUUACUGAAGCCCCUAUAGACAAUAUCCACAGUUGUAGCUUCAUCAAUCCUCUUCAUCACUUCAAUAUUACAUUAUACUGUAAACAAAUUUUAAAAGAUGUUCUGACUAAGGGUAAGUAACAUGCACUGAAAAAUAUUUUGAUUUAUUCAUGAGUUGUGAUCAUCACUGGAGAGAUCAGUAGUUAUUGCCAAUCCCUAAUUGUCUUUGAGAAGGUGGUGAUAAGAUGGUAGUGAACAGCUUGCUCAAACCACACAGUCCACAUGUUGUACAUGCUGAUACUAUGGGGCAGUGGUAGUCAUGGAAAUCUGUCAAUCUUAGCUCCAUUGUUCUAAGAGAAAGAAAUUCAACAAAGAAGUUUGGACCUUGGUUUUGUUACUAGCAUUCUUUCGAUUCAGUAGCUUUCACAGCACUAACAGUUAAUUUGCCUCAGCAAUUACCAAUGAAAUAUUUACAGUAAGUGUGGAUGAUUGACUCUGACUUUACUUAUGAUCACUAUUCUGCUUAGUGCCGUUAAUUAAAAGCUCAUUAAAACAGAGUGGUGUGAAUAAUGCUUUGGUGUGAGUCUCACAAAUAAAAUAAUU